UUGGAUCCAGACUUUGAUCAUGGCUCAGGAUGAACGCUAGCUACAGGCUUAACACAUGCAAGUCGAGGGGCAGCAUGUCGGUUGCUUGCAACCGACGAUGGCGACCGGCGCACGGGUGAGUAACGCGUAUCCAACCUACCCUUGUCCAUCGGAUAACCCGUCGAAAGGCGGCCUAACACGAUAUGCGGUUCACAGCAGGCAUCUAACGUGAACGAAAUGUGAAGGAGAAGGAUGGGGAUGCGUCUGAUUAGCUUGUUGGCGGGGUAACGGCCCACCAAGGCGACGAUCAGUAGGGGUUCUGAGAGGAAGGUCCCCCACAUUGGAACUGAGUCACGGUCCAAACUCCUACGGGAGGCAGCAGUGAGGAAUAUUGGUCAAUGGACGAGAGUCUGAACCAGCCAAGUAGCGUGCAGGAUGACGGCCCUAUGGGUUGUAAACUGCUUUUAUAGGGGGAUAAAGUGUGCCACGUGUGGCAUAUUGCAGGUAUCCUAUGAAUAAGGACCGGCUAAUUCCGUGCCAGCAGCCGCGGUAAUACGGAAGGUCCGGGCGUUAUCCGGAUUUAUUGGGUUUAAAGGGAGCGUAGGCCGUCUUAUAAGCGUGUUGUGAAAUGUCGGGGCUCAACCUGGGCAUUGCAGCGCGAACUGUGAGACUUGAGUGCGCAGGAAGUAGGCGGAAUUCGUCGUGUAGCGGUGAAAUGCUUAGAUAUGACGAAGAACUCCGAUUGCGAAGGCAGCCUGCUGUAGCGCAACUGACGCUGAAGCUCGAAAGCGUGGGUAUCGAACAGGAUUAGAUACCCUGGUAGUCCACGCGGUAAACGAUGGAUGCUCGCUGUUUGCGUCUGACGUAAGCGGCCAAGCGAAAGCGUUAAGCAUCCCACCUGGGGAGUACGCCGGCAACGGUGCAACUCAAAGGAAUUGACGGA
rnacentral:rRNA from 1 species